rnacentral:rRNA from 1 species
GAUGAACGCUGGCGGCGUGCCUAAUACAUGCAAGUCGAGCGAAGAGUGCACGGGUGAGUAACACGUGUCUAAACUCCUAUAAGACUGGGAUUAAUUCGGGGAACCGGAGCUAAACCGGCUAAUUAUAGAGUGAUGCGCGCUGCAUUAGCUAGUUGGUAAGGUAACGGCGUACCAAGGCAACGAUGCAUAGCCGACCUGAGAGGGGGACCGGCCACACUGGAACGGAGACACGGUCCAGACUCCUACGGGAGGCAGCAGUAGGGAAUGUGCCACAAUGGGCGAAAGCCUGACGGAGCAAUGCCGCGUGGAUGAUGAAGGCCUUCGGAUCGUAAAAUACUGUGAUUAGAGAAGCGGUACCUAAUCAGAAAGCACCGGCUAACUACGUGCCAGCAGCCGCGGUAAUUC